rnacentral:rRNA from 1 species
GUGCCAGCCGCCGCGGUAAUACGUAGGAGGCGAGCGUUGUCCGGAAUCACUGGGUGUAAAGCGCGUGUAGGCGGCCUGCCAAGUCUGCUGUGAAAGCGCCUGGCUUAACCGGGCGAGGUCGGUGGAAACUGGCGGGCUGGAGGACGGUAGAGGGGGGUGGAAUUCCCGGUGUAGUGGUGAAAUGCGUAGAGAUCGGGAGGAACACCAGUGGCGAAGGCGGCCCCCUGGGCCGUUCCUGACGCUGAGACGCGAAGGCGCGGGGAGCGAACGGGAUUAGAUACCCGUGUAGUCC